CUCCCUCCCUAACCAGCCAACACAGCCUCUGGGAGCUCACAGCCAAUGACUGACUGAUACAAGGCUGACCAGGUUGUCUCAAGGGGCAGGACAACUUUGCCUCCAGUGUAUGCCCCUGAGCUCCUCUGAGGAUCAAUUCAAGGAAUUAUGACUCAUCAGAAUCCUGGAGAACCUGUGCCUGCAUGGAGUGAACUUAAUAUAGUGCACAACACGGGCCAAUGAACACAGAAUUCUGGUGGACCUACUAUGCCUGGGAUUUCAGUGAGACUCAAAGUGAGUGCAAGCAGUACUCCUGUCUAGCCUGCUGCCAAUGGACCCCCUGUAUUCACCAUCAUAAAGAUUCAAUAUUCAAGACCACGAAGAAGAACCCAGACCAGGGAUUGCUUCAUUUGGAUUCCACCUACCGCAGUUGUUACAUCUAAGUAGGGACAACGAAAAUCUCCUGCUAUGGUCUUGAUCCUAGUCAGUAAAAGAGCAAAUUCCAAGCCUCCUAAGGGGCAUUUUCAUCCUUCCCCAUCUGUCCUUACAGAUAAGGAAGAGAUUCCAGGAAUGACUCGGUUCCUGGAACCUAGAAUUAGUCCCCCUUGUUUUCUUUAUCUAUCCAAAUCCUGUCUUAGGGAUCAACUUUCACAAGCUUUCUCUCCUUAAAGACUUUCACCUCGAAUUACCUUUUUUUUUUGUCAUAUUCCUAUUCCUAUCUGGAGUCACACUCUUGAGAACCUUCUAUACUUUCGUCAUGCAUUUAUUAGCAGAUAUCUAUAAAGUUCCUACAGUGUGUCAGGCACUGUGCUAGGCGCUAGUGCAACAAUGAUGAAUGCUAUACACAUCCACCUCACCCUUUUAUAGUUUAUAGUAUCAUGGGGAGAUGGAGAAGUAGAUGCUCAAUAAACACAUUUUGUCUGAUGGGUAUACCUUGAAACAGCAAAAGUAAAGUCUGUUUCAUCAUAAUUUGAUCCGUUCACAUUUAUGGGCCAGAUCCUGUGGUAGACCUGGGAUACAAAGAUGAACUAAACAGAGACUCUGCUCUCAAGAGUUUAUAUAAUCUGCAUUUGCAGGUUAUAAUAAACUCUGAUCUGCAUCUUUGGGCAAAAGCAUUCUUUUCUAGGUAUCUUAACCACGAUCUCAAGUAUGUGCUCUGUGUGUUUACUGACAUAUCAUCAAACACAGUCUGUAGGGAAAGUAAAUGAAAUACGAACCAAAGGCGCCAGUCCUUGGAGUGUUGUGGCUUCCUCUGCCUCGUAGAGAUAGAAAUUCAAAGGAGCAAAGAAGUAGCCAGGGGCUGGUUCAGAGCAGCUACGGCCAGUGACAUGUGGGCGGCAUUCACACUGCCCAUUCUUGGGUGAGCACCUGAGGAAAAAGCAAUUCAUCAUGAAAAAAUGCAAAGUAGGUGAGCGGAAAAUGAAGGUGUAGGGGUGCUGGGCUAAUGCUCCCUGAGUUUGGAGCAAUCCUUAGAAUCAGUCAAUCAAUGGUCCUGUGGGAAGAUGCAGAAAGGCCAUGGGUUUAACAUAACUGGUCUUGAAUAGUGAAUCCAGGGCCAUGGAGCCCAGGCGGCCACUUUCCCCACCCUCCGCCCCCAACCCCCCACUGCCAGGUUCUGCUCUAAAAUCUGGCAAAAAGGGGGCUUUAGGAUCUCUCUUUACAACAUGGCAAAAAGCUGGUGUUUUAGGCAGGUCACACGUAUUCAAGCACCCAUGCCACCAGCUUGUGGUGGGAUACCCAGCAGAAGGAUUGUUUACCUCACCCUUGGAAAUAUUUGAAGUGAAAGAAAUCAAUGGGCUGUAGUUAAUGUCUCAAGAUCAUUGCUUGUCAUGGAAUGAAAUUUUUCACCUAUGACUAUGAGCGUAUCAGAAUAAAAUGUGCUUUUAUGUUUAAAUAAGGAAUAUUGCUAUAAAACUUAUUUGACUUACACGUUAGAAUAAGCACCUCCAAUAUCACAGUCACAGGGAGAACACCCAUGGAGAUGAUUUCCCAGGCCCCAGUAUCCAACCUACAGAGAAAAAAUGCUCAGCUGAUUCCAGCUAUGAAGAUGCUGUUGCUCUGAAGUGCAACACUGAAAUCACUACAAUGCAAUUGCCACACGUCAAAUAGCCAAACAGCCUGCACCAUCUCAGAGAAACCUUCCUGGCCUAUGCGCUUGGCUAAUGAUCUUCCAUGGACACAUCUCCCAUCUCCAGGAUUUGA
rnacentral:lncRNA from 1 species